CCUACGGGCGGCAGCAGUAGGGAAUAUUGCUCAAUGGGGGAAACCCUGAUGCAGCAACGCCGCGUGGGUGAUGGAGGUUUUCGGUUUGUAAACUCCUUUUGGUAGAGAAGAUAAUGACGGUAUCUGACGAAUAAGCACCGGCUAACUCCGUGCCAGCAGCCGCGGUAAUACGGAGGGUGCAAGCGUUACCCGGAAUCACUGGGCGUAAAGAGCGCGUAGGCGGGAUAGCAAGUCAGAUGUGAAAGCCUAGGGCUUAACCAUAGAACUGCAUUUGAAACUGUUAUUCUAGAGUAUGGGAGAGGUAGGUGGAAUUCUUGGUGUAGGGGUAAAAUCCGUAGAGAUCAAGAGGAAUACUCACUGCGAAGGCGACCUGCUAGAACAUAACUGACGCUGAUGCGCGAAAGCGUGGGGAGCAAACAGGAUUAGAUACCCUUGUAGUC
rnacentral:rRNA from 1 species